AGAGUUUGAUCAUGGCUCAGAUUGAACGCUGGCGGAAUGCUUUACACAUGCAAGUCGAACGGCAGCACGGGAGCUUGCUCCUGGUGGCGAGUGGCGAACGGGUGAGUAAUGCAUCGGAACGUACCCAGUCGUGGGGGAUAACUAUCCGAAAGGAUAGCUAAUACCGCAUACGUCCUGAGGGAGAAAGCGGGGGACCGUAAGGCCUCGCGCGAUUGGAGUGGCCGAUGUUCGAUUAGCUAGUUGGUGAGGUAAAGGCUCACCAAGGCGACGAUCGAUAGCUGGUCUGAGAGGAUGAUCAGCCACACUGGAACUGAGACACGGUCCAGACUCCUACGGGAGGCAGCAGUGGGGAAUUUUGGACAAUGGGGGCAACCCUGAUCCAGCCAUUCCGCGUGAGUGAAGAAGGCCUUCGGGUUGUAAAGCUCUUUCGGCAGGAACGAAACGGCGACUACUAAUACUAGUUGCUAAUGACGGUACCUGAAGAAGAAGCACCGGCUAACUACGUGCCAGCAGCCGCGGUAAUACGUAGGGUGCGAGCGUUAAUCGGAAUUACUGGGCGUAAAGCGUGCGCAGGCGGUUUCGUAAGACAGCUGUGAAAUCCCCGGGCUUAACCUGGGAACUGCGGUUGUGACUGCGAGACUAGAGUCAGGCAGAGGGGGGUGGAAUUCCACGUGUAGCAGUGAAAUGCGUAGAGAUGUGGAGGAACACCGAUGGCGAAGGCAGCCCCCUGGGCUAUGACUGACGCUCAUGCACGAAAGCGUGGGGAGCAAACACGAUUAGAUACCCUGGUAGUCCACGCCCUAAACGAUGCCAACUAGGUGUUGGGGAAGGAGACUUCCUUAGUACCGUAGCUAACGCGUGAAUUUGGCCGCCUGGGGAGUACGGUCGCAAGAUUAAAAUUUAAAGGAAUUGACGG
rnacentral:rRNA from 1 species